rnacentral:rRNA from 1 species
UCAGUUUGAUCCUGGCUCAGAUUGAACGCUGGCGGAAUGCUUUACACAUGCAAGUCGAGCGGCAGCGCGGGGGCAACCCUGGCGGCGAGCGGCGAACGUGAGAGUAAUACAUCGGAACGUACCCAGUUGUGGGGGAUAGCCCGGCGAAAGCCGGAUUAAUACCUAUAAGUCCUGAGGGAGAAAGCGGGGGACCGUAAGGCCUCGCGCGAUUGGAGCGGCCGAUGUCGGAUUAGCUAGAUGGUAGGGUAAAGGCCUACCAAGGCGACGAUCCGUAGCUGGUCUGAGAGGACGACCAGCCACACUGGGACUGAGACACGGCCCAGACUCCUACGGGAGGCAGCAGUGGGGAAUUUUGGACAAUGGGGGCAACCCUGAUCCAGACAUUCCGCGUGAGUGAAGAAGGCCUUCGGGUUGUAAAGCUCUUUCGGCAGGAACGAAACGGUGGUUAUUAAUACUAGCUACUAAUGACGGUACCUGAAGAAGAAGCACCGGCUAACUACGUGCCAGCAGCCGCGGUAAUACGUAGGGUGCGAGCGUUAAUCGGAAUUACUGGGCGUAAAGCGUGCGCAGGCGGUUUUGUAAGACAGCUGUGAAAUCCCCGGGCUCAACCUGGGAACUGCGGUUGUGACUGCAAGACUGGAGUACGGCAGAGGGGGGUGGAAUUCCACGUGUAGCAGUGAAAUGCGUAGAGAUGUGGAGGAACACCGAUGGCGAAGGCAGCCCCCUGGGCUAGUACUGACGCUCAUGCACGAAAGCGUGGGGAGCAAACAGGAUUAGGUACCCUGGUAGUCCACGCCCUAAACGAUGCCAACUAGGUGUUGGGGAAGGAGACUUCCUUAGUGCCGUAGCUAACGCGUGAAGUUGGCCGCCUGGGGAGUACGGUCGCAAGAUUAAAACUCAAAGGAAUUGACGGGGACCCGCACAAGCGGUGGAUGAUGUGGAUUAAUUCGAUGCAACGCGAAAAACCUUACCUACCCUUGACAUGUCAGGAAUCCCGGAGAGAUUUGGGAGUGCUCGAAAGAGAGCCUGAACACAGGUGCUGCAUGGCUGUCGUCAGCUCGUGUCGUGAGAUGUUGGGUUAAGUCCCGCAACGAGCGCAACCCUUGUCAUUAAUUGCCAUCAUUCAGUUGGGCACUUUAAUGAGACUGCCGGUGACAAACCGGAGGAAGGUGGGGAUGACGUCAAGUCCUCAUGGCCCUUAUGGGUAGGGCUUCACACGUCAUACAAUGGUCGGUACAGAGGGUUGCCAACCCGCGAGGGGGAGCCAAUCCCACAAAGCCGAUCGUAGUCCGGAUUGGAGUCUGCAACUCGACUCCAUGAAGUCGGAAUCGCUAGUAAUCGUGGAUCAGCAUGUCACGGUGAAUACGUUCCCGGGUCUUGUACACACCGCCCGUCACACCAUGGGAGUGGGUUCCACCAGGAGUAGGUAGUCUAACCGCAAGGAGGGCGCUUACCACGGUGGGAUUUACGACUGGGGUGAAG